AACGAACGCUGGCGGCAUGCCUAACACAUGCAAGUCGAACGAGACCUUCGGGUCUAGUGGCGCACGGGUGCGUAACGCGUGGGAACCUGCCCUUAGGUUCGGAAUAACUCAGAGAAAUUUGAGCUAAUACCGGAUAAUGUCUUCGGACCAAAGAUUUAUCGCCUUUGGAUGGGCCCGCGUAGGAUUAGCUUGUUGGUGGGGUAAUGGCCUACCAAGGCGACGAUCCUUAGCUGGUCUGAGAGGAUGAUCAGCCACACUGGGACUGAGACACGGCCCAGACUCCUACGGGAGGCAGCAGUGGGGAAUAUUGGACAAUGGGCGAAAGCCUGAUCCAGCAAUGCCGCGUGAGUGAUGAAGGCCUUAGGUUGUAAAGCUCUUUUACCAGGGAUGAUAAUGACAGUACCUGGAGAAUAAGCUCCGGCUAACUCCGUGCC
rnacentral:rRNA from 1 species